AAUCAACGCUGGCGGCGUGCCUAACACAUGCAAGUCGAACGCGAAAGCCCCGCAAGGGGUAAGUAGAGUGGCAAACGGGUGAGUAACACGUGGGUGACCUGCCUUCGAGUGGGGGAUAACGUCCCGAAAGGGACGCUAAUACCGCAUGACAUCCUGCUUUUGAAAAAGCGGAGAUCAAAGCUGGGGAUCGCAAGACCUAGCGCUUGAAGAGGGGCCCGCGCCUGAUUAGCUAGUUGGUGAGGUAACGGCUCACCAAGGCGACGAUCAGUAUCCGGCCUGAGAGGGCGGACGGACACACUGGGACUGAGACACGGCCCAGACUCCUACGGGAGGCAGCAGUGGGGAAUUGUUCGUAAUAGGCGCAAGCCUGACGACGCAACGCCGCGUGGAGGACGAAGAUCUUCGGGUCGUAAACUCCUGUCGAGCGGGACGAACGCUUCGCGGAUGAAUAAUCCGCGGAAUUGACGGUACCGCUAAAGGAAGCCCCGGCUAACUCCGUG
rnacentral:rRNA from 1 species